rnacentral:lncRNA from 1 species
AUUUUAAAUUUCUAAUGGAAGAAUAAGUUUUAAUCUUAAUUGUUCUUUUUGUGGAGAUUUUUUUUGACCUACAUUCAAGGACGUAUCAACUAGAGUUUGUAUAUAGAAAUAUGGUACUAGGUAGAUGGGUCUGAUUAGAGAAACGAGUUGAAUGAAUUCUUAAUUCAGUUUAUCAAAUUUCAAGUAAAGACAUGGAUGAAUGUAUCCCAGAAAGAGCAGUAAGUCAAUCCAUGAAAUGCUUAAAAUGUAUUACUCUGAGAGGGUUAGAGAAAAUCUGAACAGUUGGGGUGUGUGAAAGUGUUCACUGGGUAGACACAUUGACUGGCCAGUUUACUGAGAUUGAUCCCCGGGUCAUGCAUGGCAGAAGAAGAAAACUGACUUCCACAAAUUAUCCUCUAAUCUCCCCAUGUCAGCAAACACAAACACACACACAAAUUAAUUAAUUACAAGGUAAAGACAAAACAAAAAGAGAAUUGCAGCCACUAAGAUUCAAAUCCGAUGAUCUGGACCUACAAGGGGGAAGGAGAGAAACAACUCCCAAGACUUGUCUUCUGACCUUCACAUGCGUGCUAGACCACAUAGGUAAAACCACACAGGUAUCUAUAUACAAACACAGAAAACCACAAUUUUUCUAUUACUGUUUUUUUUACAGUCCAAUGUUUGCCCCCAUCAUAAUCUACCCUUCCUCAGUUCCUCAUCCCAUUCCUCUUUCCCCGUGUCUCCAAGAGGAUGCCCUCCCACACCAGAUUUCCCCACUCCUUGGGGCCUCAAGUCUCAAGAGCAUUGAGUACUUCUCCUUUCACUGAACCCAGACCAAGCAGUCCUCUGCUGAAUCUGUGUCGGGGGCCUCAGACCAGCUCUUGUAGGCUGCCUGAGAGAUCUUGGGAUUGGGCUUAUUUGAGACUGCUGGUCUUCCUAUGGGGUUUCCCUCCUCCUCGGAUUCUUCCAGGCAUUUGGUAAUUCAAGCAUAGGGGUCCCCAGCUUCUGCCCAUAGGUUAGGUAUAAAUAUCUGCAUCUGUUGCAGUCAACUGCUUCUUGGACCUCUCAGAAAACAGACACAAUUAACUAGACUCUUUAAAUACAAUUAACUCAUGUAAAAUAUUUAUACUUUAUUAAUUCUUUAAUAAUGCCAUGCAAUCUAUUCAGAUUAUAGUCACCCUUCUCCCUCAGCACUUCUCCAGUUGACCACAACUUCCCUACCUAUCCAUUUUCUUGUUCUCUUUCUUUUAUUUUAAACCUGUUGAGCCCAAUUUAUUUUCCCACUUGUUCUUAUGGGUUGAGCUUCCCUGGAGUGUGGUCUGCACACCAGGUCCCAUAUCCUUGAGGAACACUGCUCUCACAACCCAACCCCCUUCCAGCAGCAGCUAUCAAAUUUUUCUCUGAUCCCUUAACCCUCUGCUGGGGCGUUCUUUUGAAUUUACACAGGCCUUGUGCAUUUAGCUACAGGUGCUAUGAGUUCAUUUAUACAUUUAUACAUAUAUACGUGUGUGUGUGUGUGUGUCCAGAAAAUAGAUUGCUUGUUGCCAUCUAUCAUCUCUAUGUCUUUAAUCUGCUUUCUUUUCUGCAAAACUCCCCGUGACUAGGUGGUAGGGCUGUGAUACACAUAUCCAAUUUAGUGAUAAUCACACUGCAUGUUCUUGCUGUCUGAACUCUUAGUGAUGUUGUCUGCGUUAAUUGCCAUCUACUUCAAAAGAACCUUCUCUAAUAAAAGUCACAUACAAUUCGUCUGUGGGUAAAGCAAUAAGUCAUCACAUGGCUGUUUUAAAAUUAUCUUUCUUUAGCAGAAUAGCUCUAGAAGGUUCUCCAUAGUCCUGUAACCUACCUAGCCACUGGGUCUCAGGCUCAUGCACUUAGGUAUAGGCUCAAUCUCCUGGUGUAGGCUUUAAAAUCUAUCAUAAAAAAUGAUUAUUCCUAUUAGGCCUGGGCCAGUAAUGGAAUGCACAAUGGGUAUAUCUUAUAAAAAACAUCAUUAAACC